rnacentral:lncRNA from 1 species
CCCCCCUAGGCUGUGCAACUGUUUCAUAUAUGGUUAAUUCUUAUGCGGCUUUAGAGGACUUAUCAUUGGAGAUGCACACCCAAGAGCUCCUGUUAACUGUGCUGCUAUCAAGGACACAGGAGUAGGAAAUACUGUGGCUGUUGUAACACAUUUCCUUUUUGCCUGGUUACCAGGAAGCUCACAAUCGAGUCUGUGGCCAUCCUUUAGCAAUUAGACAUUUUGGAUCCAAGGACCAAUAGGUUGACUCAUUCACUAGUGGAGAGUAUCAAAGAAAGAAAAAUUUAAAAACUAAACAACAGAUUUGACAAGCUGCCUGCCAUCUGAAAGUGAGAAAGAAUGUGAUAUUAAUUGAGCAUCUUCUGAGCAAGCUAUAUGCUGUACAUAUGCUUUUCUUCAAAACAUCCCUUCAAGAAAAUGAUACAUCUAUUUCAGAAUGUGACAGAAAAACACCAAUAGGCAGGAAAGAGGGGGCGGAAGGAAUUCACCGUACUCUCCAGUACCCCAGUUGCUGGCUGGUUAAUGAAGCAUUCUUCUCAUCAAGCUGCCUCAGUUAUUUACCAAGAGAAUGACAACCCAUUCCCCACCCCCAGCUCGAACACCCACUGUGAUCAGCUCCCUCACUUCAUGACAAUGAGGCGAUAUGUGUGGGACUGGUUUUCGCAUAACUACAAAGCUUCAAAAAAAAAGUGAGAAUAAAUAUUUACUUCCAGUGUAUUUCAAGCAACACAGAAGGAAAAUCUUCAAUAUUAAACUGACUUAUUUCCAACGA